rnacentral:siRNA from 1 species
UCAACCAAGUUCAAGAAUGUUGAA